CAGCCAUGCCGCGUGUAUGAAGUAAGGCCUUCGGGUUGUAAAGUACUUUCAGUCAGUGAGGAAGGUGGAUAUGUUAAUAGCAUAUUCAUUUGACGUUAGCUGCAGAAGAAGCACCGGCUAACUCCGUGCCAGCUAGCCGCGGUAAUACGGAGGGUGCGAGCGUUAAUCGGAAUUACUGGGCGUAAAGCGCAUGCAGGUGGUUUGUUAAGUCAGAUGUGAAAGCCCGGGGCUCAACCUCGGAAUUGCAUUUGAAACUGGCAAACUAGAGUACUGUAGAGGGGGUAGAAUUUCAGGUGUAGCGGUGAAAUGCGUAGAGAUCUGAAGGAAUACCGGUGGCGAAGGCGGCCCCCUGGACAGAUACUGACACUCAGAUGCGAAAGCGUGGGGAGCAAACAGGAUUAGAUACCCUGGUAG
rnacentral:rRNA from 1 species